AAGUCUGAAAUGAUGAUUUGUAUUCAUGUCUCUUCUCUGAUAAGUUCUUGAAGAAAAUUGUGUGUCUGAUCAGGCUU